AUUAUAAAAAUGAUAUCAUGAAAUUUGUUUUAACUCAAAUAUUAUCAGUGUCAAAGGUCUGUUUUAUGUUUUUUGAUAUUCUGUCUUUAAACUGAAAUGAUAUAAAAAAUGAUAUCAUGAGAUUUGUUUUAACUCAGAUAUUAUCAGCCUCAAAGACCUGUUUUAUGCUUUUUGAUAUUCUGUCUUUAUACAGUUUUUAAGAAAAUCACACUUGAGAUUUUGAUUUCUUCCUCUCUUUUUUUUUAGAAAUACAUUGCAUUUAAAAACAAUUGUACAAUAUUGGAUAUUGUGAAAUCUGUCUUUGGCUGAAUACCACUGUCUUGGUAAUGUCUCGUUAAAAUGAGAGUUGGGAUUUUGAAGGAAUCUAGCCUGGUAAAAUAUGUUCUGGAAAAAAAAAUUAUAAUAAAUAAAUAAUGAUUGUUUUAAUUAUCCAAUAAAUUGAUUUUCUGAUUGGA